GGGUAUGGAAGAAAGUGCAGAGACGCGUGCAAGUGUAUAUCGAUGAAUAUUCUAGAAAUCGUUCAUAAAAUAAAUAUGUGUCUACGUUAAUAGUAAUACCCAGUGUAAAUUUAAUGUUUCCAUAACAAUAUUUCGGCCAUCAAGAUCCACAAUUCUCAACAAUAACCUUCGACCAACAAGUACUUUGGCAUUAAAAUUUCAAAAAGUUCAAAAAGCCGAGUCAAUCGCAUUGGCCCGUGAGCGGUUCAAACAAUUCGUAACACGCCUGUGUAACAGCCAUACUUUACAUUUCUAUGCCUUUUUUAUCUUCACGAACGUAACUGAAGAAGCGGAAUCAAAAUAGAAAUUUGUUUCAUCUACCAGAUAUUAUUGUAGUAUCGUGGACGAAAGGCCUAAGAGAUACCGGGCGAACCAUAAACAAUGUCGCGAGAAAGCCUAAGUGCCGACAGGCCUAUCAAUGUAUCGUCGGUCCUUCAAUCGAAUAGUUGCGCGGAAAAAAAGUCUACGUGACUCUGGCCACGAACGGUUGCGGAACACGUAUGUGGUGGGGCUAAGAAAAAAGACAAGGGGUUGCUAAGGGACAAAAACGAAUUAACAGUCAGUGUUGAGAAGUCAGAGAGUGCGAAUUGCGUUGACGAGAGAGUGUGGUCCGCGUGAGAGAGAGCGUUGGAAUGGAGCUUCGCUUAUUCCAACAUGUUAAAUUGUGAAGUAACUGAUAGACGUGUACAAUAAAACUUGUCAUGUGAUAUUUUCGUCGAUAUCCAUGACCAAUCGUUACCAAUAUCUAUCAUCGAUUAUUACCAAGGAAGGGAAGGAAAAAGAGAGGAAACCUUUACAGAGGGAUGAGGCAAAUUGCCAUAACAUAUAAGCAGGAGUGGGUGCGGUGGAACGACAGAAUGUAAAUCUCACGAGGCCAUUCAUAAUGGAGAUCCAUUCAGCGAUGGCUGGCCUUAGCAGCCGGUACUAAGGAACAAACUGCGAUUUAAAUUGGACCAGCCUCCUUUGACUCGACUUGCAGCCAUUUAUCGGCUCGGAACUCGCCUUUCCACGUUUACCUUCGAGUGCCUACGCCUUUUUCCUCCCCUUCUGUGUUCGCCGUUUGUCUUCCUUUUGGAAAUCGUAUUAAUCGGCCGGAAGUGAAUUAAGCCAUCCAUGUUUCGCGUACAGCAAAUUCGAUCGCUGUGAGAUCAUGAAGCGCCGUGGCGCGUCGCGUUGUGUCGUACGACAACGAGGAUUUCGUUAUUAAUUUAACCCAAGGCUUUUCUUUCUUAGUAUUCUUAGUAUUCUGUCAAUCUGUGUGACGUAGAAUUUACGAAUCAUCUUAGUACCAAUGAUCUCUGGAAUUUGCGUGUAAAGCAAGUUAUGUAAUUAGUUUAUCAUAACAAGUUGUGAUAAAUUGGUAUAGUAAUUUUUGAGGUUAGUAGCGAAAACGAGAAAAAGACAAAUAAAUCAGCGAACAGAAAAAGGUGUGAAAAAAGAAUAUAUCCCGGUAAUGUCUCUCUUGUCUUGUGUGAUUUGAUUUUACCGCUUAAUAAAAUGCUUUUGGGAAUUAGUAAACGAUUAGAGAAUCGAUAAUUGUGUAAAAUACUCAAUAUCUGGUAUUUUUGUGUAUUUUAUACGAGUGUUUCCGAAAUCGUGGUACAAAAAGUGCGGUGGUGAUUCUACGUGUAAAAAUAAGCGAAAAAUAAGUUUGAAGUUGAAGUUGUAGAAAAUUGGUUGGUAUGUGCAGGCCGUGUCGUAAUGGACGCGUCACGAUCCAGCGAGCACCAAUUAAAAAAAAGAGCAGACUUAGUCUCGCGAUCGUCGAAGAGUUGGUUAUCAUGUGAAUUAAUGAAAUAGAAAAUUGCCUCUGGACGACGCGCACACAGCUACAAAAUCGGUGCAGGUGCGCCAGCCUGUCUUCCGUUCAAUUUCGAACAUCGACGUGAAAAAUUGGCGCGCGACCUUCUGCCUUGAUUACGUGCCACCCGGAUUCAACCUCUGGCCUCGUCGCGAGGCAAAAAUUCCUCACUUUCGUCGUCAGCCAUUCCUCGCGCGACCAUCCGAUUCAAACAUCGAUCAACGAUUCGAAUAUCGUGAAUUUGAACGCGAAAGCACAUUUCCCUUCAACGCGUAAACAAUGUGAAAUAUCGCCGCAGAAGGCGAAAAAAUCUCGAUGAAGAACCACGAUGAGAGAAGAGAAGGGAAGGAACAAUCGGCCUGAAAGAAUACUCGUUCGUCCCCAUUCACGGGAUCAUCGGCGAACAGCGUCAAAUUAAAUUGAUCCUCGACAGCAGGUCCACCUUCGUGCCCGGCAUCGAUCUACGUUUCCAUUGGCGUUCAUCUGUUUUAUUCGUCGAAUCAGCUUGCGUGAGCGCGUAGCUGAGGAGCGUAACCAGGAUGCACACGAUCGAUCGGCGGCACCAUUGUUUCGCUUUAGUGUCGGUAUCAAUCGCACGGAGCGUUCAUUACGACGGCAUUAACAGGCUUUUCAAAGGGAGAAAACGAUUUCCAGAAAUUGGAAAAAUGACGAAUAAAAAGCCUUCUUCGUUGAAAUGCUGGAUGAUACCUUUGAAAUCGGCGAAUACGAAAGAUCCGCGGUAUUUCAGAUCAGCGUAGUAGGACCCAUGCUCUUUUCGAUAUGCACAACGGAUCCUUCAGACGCCUUCAUUCAUCUGCAUCAUUCACCAGAUUACCUUCGUUGAUGAUCUCUUAUUAUCCAGUCUGCCACUGACCAGGAGUCGACCGAGAAGUUACAAGAAACGUGUUUGCUGCGGGGCCAUGAAAUUCGGCUUACGCCAAGUAGAGUCGUUUGAUAUCUUUUUAAAAAAUAUUUAUUUUAUAUCAUUUCUUUCAAUUGCGUGUUUAAGGUGAUGCUCAUCUUUGAAGAUUAUUAGUGUCACGUUAACGCUUUGAGUGCUGUGGGCGCAUAUAGGUGUCUGGCGAAAGCUAUCGGUGUGGACUAAGGACGUAUAUAUGCGUUUUCUCGAUUGUCAGCGCUAGACGCGCGCCGUCCGUACGGACCGCAUAGGCCGCGGGUAUUGAGCACUCAAAAGGUUAAGAAUGACCAGGGACAGAACGAAUCUGUAGCAAGUUGCAUAAACCAAUGUCUCUCAGAAGAUCUAGAGUCUCUUCCAUGGAGCCUUUCUUUUGUGGUAUGUUCAGAGUUUCAGACACGAAAUUAGCAUAUGUAAAACAGAGUUUCAGAGGGAAAUAAUACUCUGUAAGAAGGAGGUAGUCUAUCUGUGAAUAAGUUUGGACAAAGGACUCGCAUGGGAAACAGGAUGUACAUAGAACGAGGCAGUACGCUAGAUAAAUUCUGGAAAUUCUGCUGGCUCAUUAGAGGAACAUCGCGAUCGAAGCGUAAACCUAGUACGAAGUUGUGUUUGAGACACUAUGGACUUCCGGAAUCGUAUUGCAACGGUAGAAGCAGUUGAACGCCAGCUAACCAGGACCAGAGGAACACAAAGCGGUGGAAUAAGAAAAAUACAAAAAGAAAAAGAAGUAAAAGUGUAAGAAGAGAUGACACAGAAAAGGCCACUGAGCUUAGGUCAGUAGAGCAAGAAGCACGACGCAGCUGUCAUGUAAAAUUAAUGAUAAAAAAAGGAGUAGCUGAGCAAUAGCUUAACUAUUAAAGGCUGUGCCUUUAUAAUUUUGUGUUGAGGAGCAAGGAGAGGAUUCUGAUUGCCCUACGUAAUGGGGAAAAUGUAAUGUUGUACCAUGUGCGAAGGUCAGGUUAAAGCCUAAUGGUUCACUGUCAGGUAGUAUGGAAUGACGUGGAUUUGGGUAUGGUCGUUGUCACACCGCUAAAGUCGUCAACGGACAAUGCUUGAAAGACAUCCAAAACUGUCUCAGACUGUUUUCAGGAAUUCGAGGAGAAUUAAAAUGCAACAUCCUUCGAGCAACUAUCAUCCUGCUGCUCCGGUCUGCCAAAAACUGUGGGACGAGAUACCGUACGAAUAAUAAACAACGUGCAAGCUCACUCGAGAGCGCCAUAACGUCGAAUCUACAUAAAACAAGCGUAAAAGGGCUCUUGUAUCGCGGUUGGACACGAAACACACGGUAUAAUAAAGAAACGAAUCAGGAGAUUGCAGUGAGAACGAUAGAAAAAGGAGAAGAAGAGAAAGGAAGAGACACGAGAAGGAAGAAACGAAGAGGGAAAGGAUUCUGUUGCAGUUCAUAGCGAGUUAGGUGGCAAAGGUUUUAAGGCGAAGGCGAGAUGAAGAGACAGGGCGAGCAGUCGGCAGAUGAAAAUUUCGUUUCUUUCACCUACACACGCCGACGUCGAAGAAACGACCUCCGAUUGUAAAAACGAUGAAGCAAGACAUUAGCUUUAUGAACUGGAAGAAAAAACAAGGAAGAGAGAGAGAGAGAGACAGAGGAAGGAGAGUGGAAAGAAAGAGAGAGAAGACCGUGACCACGGAUCUGGACGUUCUCCAAAGCUACAGAAACUGUCGGUCGUGUUGCCGGUUGUUAGAGCCAUACAAAACCAAGAUUUUAAAGUCGACAACAAAGUGCCGCAAACUGGGACGCAACGAUUUCAGUCUCCGGGUUCGGUCGUUCGUUAUUAACGUUUUCAGGACUUUUCGCUGCAUUCGGUCCUUUAUUCCGUUCUCUUUGCCCUUUCUUCCCUCGCCGACUUUAUCCUCCUUCUUAUCGCUGUCUCUUUGUCUCCCGCGUCGGAUGUGUAUUUUACUGCACGUAAAAACGGAACUUGUAACGCAUUCAGCGUAUCUGAUACAUGCAACACGCGUAACUUCUUUUUAUGUUUCAUAUUCGCCACUUUUAUUUCUUUCCUUUCUUUUCUUCUUCGGGAGUUGGGAGGGAGAGAGGGAGGGGAGUGUUUUAGACAGUUUCGUUCCUACUCGGUGAAAAUUCUUCAAUGCCGCUGCUUCCAGCGAGAGGUCAAUGUUCUGUCGUUUAUCAACCAGCAGAUUUGUACAAAAUUGGGAUACGCAGCUGUCAGACGCGUUUAAAACACGCUGCGCGCAUUCCAUUGGUAGAAUUCGCUAUUAAUAUCUCGUUUUAUCAGCGUAUCUCAUAACGUUUAAAUGUUAAUCAAGUUGAUCCGACGUGUUCUCGGUUACUCAGUGUCCACUGUUGAAACGCGAAAUUCAUUAAAUUUUAAGGAGAUAUUCGGACUACGUAAUGGGAAUACUUCGGAGAUACUUGGAGGGUAAUUUAACACUAGAACUACCACACCAGUCAAAUUGACUGGUUUUACAAUUUUAUUUUAAAAUUCCUACUUCAUGUUAUAUUCUUUCCCGCAAUG